GCGAGAGUGGCGGAAUUGGUAGACGCACUGGACUUAGGAUCCAGCGGCCUGUCCGUGGGAGUUCGAGUCUCCCCUCUCGCACCA
rnacentral:tRNA from 1 species